rnacentral:misc_RNA from 1 species
AAACUGAAGGCAACUAGAAACCCCUGGAGGAGAGGGUNGAGCGCAUGUUUGGUUUACCAGCUUGUUUUACCUUGUUGUACGUUGUUUUGAAACCUUAAUCGUGAAGGAAUUAGUUUGCUCGUCGUUCCGUUGUUUCGAGGGGCUUCUUCCGUCUGUCAGNGGUCUCUUCUCUUUCUCAGUCCACCAAAGCAACGCAUUUACAUUUCAACGUCAGUUAUCAAAGUGGUCAGUGGCAGUCCGGAAUNUCCCGUUACCCGCGGGACAAGUCUACAUCUAAGGACAAAUUCACCAGCUGUGUUGAGGAUAUUACACAAGUGAAUUCCUGUCGAGUUGACCUGCAGAGAGGAAAAAAACUUUGAUUUGAACUGAUUCAUCCGGUCAACACGCAGGAAAAAUAAACACUUAAAAACCGUACACAAUCUCCUGGUCACCAACACAGAUAGCUACAGAUGUAGAAACAGGCUGGAUACCGAAGAUUUACGACACCGGGGAAGAUCCAAGGUUUUUAGAAGCUACAUAAAAGAUAUAAUUNAAAUACAUCCAUAACCAUGAUUGGUCAAUACACAAGAAUAUUCAUGGUGGUUACUAUGGUGACGUUAGCCACGACCCACAUGUCAAAAGCUUCCUGUAAAGUUGGAGACACGGUAAUCGAGGUGGGCAAGACUUACAAGUCCCCUCCACCUGACUGUAAGGUGUAUGUGUGCAAAGAAGGUGAUGCACUCAACUCAUAUAGCAUCUGUAGAUUAUUGGCUGUUGAAGACGUUUGCUGCGAAUACGGCUAUCAGGAUAGCACUAGGCUGGUAUAUGGCUGUGAGUGUAAAGUUCCAGGUUGUAAAGAAAAAAGCUGGUACCAUUAUAUACCGUUCACCGGUAAUAAAUGUUCAUAACUGCAAAGAAAGCCCUUUUUAGUUGAUUAUAUUGUACCAGCGUAGUAAAGAUGUCCGAUGCCGGAACAGUACUAAUGGACCAGAUCAAUAAAAUACUUUUAUCAGUC